GAUGAACGCUGACAGAAUGCUUAACACAUGCAAGUCAACUGUGGCGGACGGGUGAGUAACGCGUAAAGAACUUGCCUCCCAGAUAGGGACACCAUUUGGAAACGAAUGCUACUACCUGAUACUGUGAGAGAGCUUUGCGUCGCAGUAGCUAGUGGGAGCGGUAACGGCUCACCAAGGCGAUGAUGGGUAGCCGGCCUGAGAGGGUGAUCGGCCACAAGGGGACUGAGACACGGCCCUUACGCCUACGGGAGGCAGCAGUGGUGAAUAUUGGACAAGGGACCAAAGUCUGAUCCAGCAAUUCUGUGUUCACGAUGAAGUUUUCGGAAUGUAAAGUGCUUUCAGUUGGGAAGCGGUACCAACAGAAGAAGUGACGGCUAAAUACGUGCCAGCAGCCGCGGUAAUUC
rnacentral:rRNA from 1 species